CCAAUAGCGUAUAUUAAAGUUGUUGCAGUUAAAAAGCUCGUAGUUGAAUUUCGGGAUCAAUACGUCGGUCGUGCUUUCGGGUACGUACUGGCGUCAUUGGUUUCUCCUUUCUGACGAACCAUGAUGUCAUUAAUUUGGUGUUAUGGGGAGUUAGGACUGUUACUUUGAAAAAAUUAGAGUGUUUAAAGCAGGCAUUAGCUUGAAUACAUUAGCAUGGAAUAAUGAAAUAGGACGUUCGAUCCUAUUUUGUUGGUUUCUAGGAUCAACGUAAUGAUUAAUAGGGAUAGUUGGGGGCAUUAGUAUUCAAUUGUCAGAGGUGAAAUUCUUGGAUUUAUUGAAGACCAACUACUGCGAAAGCAUUUGCCAAGGAUGUUUUCAUUAAUCAAGAACGAAAGUUAGGGGAUCGAAGACGAUCAGAUACCGUCGUAGUCUUAACCAUAAACUAUGCCGACUAGGGAUCGGAUGAUGUUAAUUUUUUAAUGACUCAUUCGGCGCCUUACG
rnacentral:rRNA from 1 species